rnacentral:rRNA from 1 species
UGGGGAAUUUUGCACAAUGGGGGAAACCCUGAUGCAGCGACGCCGCGUGAGUUAGAAGGCCUUCGGGUUGUAAAAAUCUUUUCUAUGGGAAGAAAAUGACAGUACCAUAGGAAUAAGGACCGGCUAAUUACGUGCCAGCAGCCGCGGUAAUACGUAAGGUCCGAGCGUUGUCCGGAAUCAUUGGGCGUAAAGGGUACGUAGGCGGGUAAGCAAGUUAGAAGUGAAAUCCUAUAGCUCAACUAUAGUAAGCUUUUAAAACUGCACAUCUUGAGGUAUGGAAGGGAAAGUGGAAUUCCUAGUGUAGCGGUGAAAUGCGCAGAUAUUAGGAGGAAUACCGGUGGCGAAGGCGACUUUCUGGCCAUAACCUGACGCUGAGGUACGAAAGCGUGGGUAGCAAACAGG